AACGAACGCUGGCGGCAUGCCUAACACAUGCAAGUCGAACGAGACCUUCGGGUCUAGUGGCGCACGGGUGCGUAACGCGUGGGAACCUGCCCUUAGGUUCGGAAUAACUCCCCGAAAGGGGUGCUAAUACCGGAUAAUGUCUUCGGACCAAAGAUUUAUCGCCUUUGGAUGGGCCCGCGUUGGAUUAGCUAGUUGGUAGGGUAAAAGCCUACCAAGGCGACGAUCCAUAGCUGGUCUGAGAGGAUGAUCAGCCACACUGGGACUGAGACACGGCCCAGACUCCUACGGGAGGCAGCAGUGGGGAAUAUUAGACAAUGGGCGCAAGCCUGAUCCAGCCAUGCCGCGUGAGUGAUGAAGGCCUUAGGGUUGUAAAGCUCUUUUAGCCGGGAAGAUAAUGACAGUACCGGGAGAAGAAGCGCCGGCUAACUCCGUG
rnacentral:rRNA from 1 species